rnacentral:rRNA from 1 species
UGCCAGCAGCCGCGGUAAUACGGAGGGUGCAAGCGUUGUUCGGAAUUAUUGGGCGUAAAGCGGGUGUAGGCGGUUUUGCAAGUCGGGUGUGAAAUCCCUGGGCCCAACCCAGGAGCUGCACUCGAUACUGCAUCACUAGAGUCCCGGAGAGGAUGGCGGAAUUCCAGGUGUAGAGGUGAAAUUCGUAGAUAUCUGGAGGAACACCGAUGGCGAAGGCAUCUCUCUGGACCGAUACUGACGCUGAGGCGCGAAGGCGUGGGUAGCGAACAGGAUUAGAUAC